UCUUCUUUACUUUAAUAGAUAGGUCUAUUUCUUUAGUUCUGAUGGGUGUAUAUUGUCCAUUCAGUUGGGUGUAUCUUGUCCAUUCAUUCGGGUGUAUUACUGAUUUGUUUUCGUAUUUAAGGGAUACGUAUUUUCAAGAUUGAUAACAUAUGCCGGCGGGGAACCUCUGCAGAAAGGAGAGAGGGAGAAGGAAAUUAAAUCACCAUAUGUUAAAAUAUCAGGCCAAAAAACAAGCUAUGACUGCGCUGUGUACGUUAUGAAGUGGAUGGAGUUAAUUGAGACGGAAAACAUCAAAAAGGGGAAGUAUCAAUGGGAUAAUUGGCCACAGGAGGAGGUGGACCACUAUAGAGUGGAGUACGCUUCCCGGAUACUAUUCAGUGAGAUGAAUACACAGAGAGAUCGGGCAAUUAGAGAGAGUAGUGCUAUAAGGCUGUCGAAGCCAUCCUCUGUAUUAUUAAGUCCGUUUUGUCAGAUUAAUUCUGCU